rnacentral:rRNA from 1 species
AUUGAACGCUGGCGGCAGGCUUAACACAUGCAAGUCGAGCGAGCGGAGGACGGGUGAGUAAUGUCUGGGAAACUGCCUGAUGGAGGGGUAUAAGUACUGUAAACGGUAGCUAAUACCGCUUACCAUGCGAUCGGCCCACAUGGGAGUAUCUACUAGGUGGGGUCAAGGCUCACCUAGGCGACGAUCCCUAGCUGGUCUGAGAGGAUGACCAGCCACACUGGGACUGAGACACGGCCCAGACUCCUACGGGAGGCAGCAGUCGGGAAUAUUUCGCAAUGGGGGAAAGCCUGACGCAGCAACGCCGCGUGAAUGAAGAAGGCCUUCGGGUUGUAAAGUUCUUUCGGUAGCGAGGCGUUACCUACAGAAGAAGCACCGGCUAACUCCGUGCCAGCAGCCGCGGUAAUUC